AUUGCAGUGUUUAAAUUUGGAGAUUUUUCCAGGGUUAUUAAAUGGAAUUUCUACGACAACCUAAAAUCUGGUGUUAGAAUGAGAUUGAGUUAUUCAGUAUAAUGAGUCCAACUCUAUUUUACUUCUUACUUUUGGCCUCUAAGAUAUAUAUGUAAAUUAUAAAUUUAGAGCCCCAUUUCAGCCACCAUCCAGCAAAUAGUACAUUAAUGGUGUAAGAGUUCAAUAAAUCUCCAUUUUACUCGGGGUACUUUGUGGCCAGCCAUAGAAACCAACUCUGGCUGGUCUAUCAGAAGGGGACUUUACAGAGAGAAUCUUGGGUAUUUGAUAUAAUUGCCAGAACACCUGGGAGAUCAGACACUAAAAAUGGGCAGGCAUAAUGGAACGAGAUAGAAGCUGACCAAAGCUAAACUUUUUUUAUCUGGGACGGUCUGGCAGGGACAUUCUCUUGUCAUGGAGAUGGAGGCCAAUGCUGGUUCUGGAUAUUGCAUUAAUCACAGGCCCUCAUUACUACCUCUAGUUCUACUGAGCUGGAUGGAGAAAGGUAUUACCACUGAUUCUGGCACAGAAUUCUCUGACCCAGUUUCUUUGCUCACUUG
rnacentral:lncRNA from 1 species